GUGGCUCUGUUGUCGCACUGCGGGGUCCACUUUGAUCGCCAUCUCGGAUACGCCGACACGGCUGCACGAUCUACUGCCUCGUCGUUCCGCCUAGUUGCAGAUCGCGAUUGGAAUAGUGCGCGAAUCGAUGAAUAAAUCGAGAACGGUUAUCGGUGAUAAUCAAUAGAAAACAAUAAAAUCACGAGGCAGACGCAGCGUUCGUUCGUCCAUUUAAAUUCCUUCGCGUUCUCGCGAUCGAAAUGAAUUUUAAGGAACCCGUCCAACUGCCGUUUCAAUCGGCUGCGUGCAAUGCAGCCAGUUACCUGCAAAGAAACCAAAGUCUCGCGAGUGAAACACAGCGUCGUCUCGUAAUCGAUAAGUGAUUAUCGCGUAUUAGAGUCGGUGCGUCGCGCAAGAUUGCUCGAAACUACGUAAUUUCCAGCCAGCCCAUCUUCGACCUUCCACGGAUCAAGUCCUUCCUCGAUUUCGACCUACACCGCGGACGAGUGUUUUGAAGCCAUCGGAGAACUUCUUAAAUGCCUUUGCCAGACAAGAGUGGACUAAAAAAAACCUGAUGAUCUCGAUCGGCUCGAAAAGGCAAGAUCGUGAGAUAAACGUACCUUUACCGAAGAAUCGUCAAAUGCCUGGACAAAUUACCAUGGUUUCUCCGUGUGAUCAUAGCAAAAUGCGUUUCCUUGCAUCUGGGUUGCAUCGUUUAGAAUGAGAUCAGAAAAUCUGAGCAUCGGUUUACGCGUGCCAAACAAGGAAGCAAUCGCUACUUUACAGAAACAAACCACACACCACUCUAGCGUUUAUAUGAAAAUCAGUAGUGGGGACAAGAGCUUCUUCUCUUUUACCGCAAAGUCUAAGGGGCGCCACUAUACGAAACUUUUUUUCACAAAAAAUAUCGAAAACAUUUUUACGCUACGAGUCGAGGAAUAAUUCUUGAAAUAAAUCUUGGUGAACAAGUUCUCAUUUUAAAAAUGAAGGUUUAAGUAAGCACAUGGCUUUCUCGAAUUUGUUAAAAAACUUUAUUUUCAUGCAUAAACUAUUGUCGGAAAAACUUCAUUUUUUGACACGAUUUUAUUCAAAGAAAAUAAAGCUUUUUCUAAAAUUUGAGAAAGCCAUGUCCUCGUUUGAACUUUCAUCUUUAAAAUGAGACCUUAUUCAUCAAAAUCGUUCGAAAGUUAUACCUCUAACAGCUUUAAUCUGAUAUUUCUAUAAUUGGCGUUAUUUGAAAAUCCGAAUCAAUACCGAGUAUGUAAACAAAACCCGCGACCGACUUCCACAGCCAUCAGUCUUCUUUUCUAUUUCGACGAGUAAACAUCGCAAAUCUCUCCGCCUUAUUAUAUUUAUUAUUGUAAUAUAAUUAACUAUUACUUAAACAACUGCUUAAAUAUUACCAAAUUUAAGGUAAAUCUUUUAAUACAGAAUUUUUUUUAAUAAAUCUAGGAAUAAGAUGAAA